GACGAACGCUGGCGGCGUGCUUAACACAUGCAAGUCGAACGAAGUGGCGAACGGGUGAGUAACGCGUAAUCAACCUGCCCUUCAGAGGGGAACAACAGUUGGAAACGACUGCUAAUACCGCAUACUGAAGGAGGGGAUUGCGGCUGAUUAGCUAGUUGGAGGGUUAACGCCCCACCAAUGCGAUGAUCAGUAGCCGGUCUGAGAGGAUGAACGGCCACAUUGGGACUGCGACACGGCACAGACUCCUUCGGGAGGUAGCAGGUGGGAAUCUUCCGCAAUGGACGAAAGUCUGACGGAGCAACGCCGCGUGAGUGAGGACGGCCUUCGGGUUGUAAAGCUCUGUUAAUCGGGACGCGGUACCGGAAUAGAAAGCCACGGCUAACUACGUGCCAGCCGCCGCGGUAAUUC
rnacentral:rRNA from 1 species